UACAUACUCCCUCCGUUCCAAAUUACUUGUCGCUAAAAUGGAUGUAUCUAGAAUUAAAAUACAUCUGGACACAUCCAUUAUUACGACAAGUAAUUUGGAACGGAGUAGAUG
rfam:Triticum aestivum genome assembly, contig: Triticum_aestivum_CS42_TGACv1_scaffold_642207_T_6AL-0.135263_7BS-0.129174